UACGGGGGGAGCAAGCGUUGUUCGGAUUUACUGGGCGUAAAGGGCGCGUAGGCGGCACCGCAAGUCGACUGUGAAAUCUCCGGGCUUAACCCGGAAAGGUCAGCCGAUACUGCGGGGCUAGAGUGCGGAAGGGGCAACUGGAAUUCUUGGUGUAGCGGUGAAAUGCGUAGAUAUCAAGAGGAACACCUGCGGCGAAGGCGGGUUGCUGGGCCGACACUGACGCUGAGGCGCGAAAGCUAGGGGAGCGAACGGG
rnacentral:rRNA from 1 species